rnacentral:rRNA from 1 species
AGCAGCCGCGGUAAUUCCAGCUCCAAUAGCGUAUAUUAAAGUUGUUGCAGUUAAAAAGCUCGUAGUUGAAUUUCGGGGUUCUACCGUUGGUCAGGCUAUUGCUUGUACUGGCGCGUAGAAUUUCUACCUUCUGGGGAACCAUUAUGUUAUUAAUUUAGCGUGGUAGGAAACCAGGACCUUUACCUUGAAAAAAUUAGAGUGUUCAAAGCAGGCUUAUGUCUGAAUACAUUAGCAUGGAAUAAUAAAAUAGGACGGUGGUCCUGUCUUGUUGGUUUCUGAAUCACCGUAAUGAUUAAUAGGGAUAGUUGGGGGCAUUAGUAUUCAAUUGUCAGAGGUGAAAUUCUUGGAUUGAU